UGAGUAACACGUAUCCAACCUGCCGUCUACUCUUGGACAGCCUUCUGAAAGGAAGAUUAAUACAAGAUGGCAUCAUGAGUUCACAUGUUCACAUGAUUAAAGGUAUUCCGGCAGACGAUGGGGAUGCGUUCCAUUAGAUAGUAGGCGGGGUAACGGCCCACCUAGUCUUCGAUGGAUGGGGGUUCUGAGAGGAAGGUCCCCCACAUUGGAACUGAGACACGGUCCAA
rnacentral:rRNA from 1 species